rnacentral:lncRNA from 1 species
CAAAAAGCAAGCCUAUCUUGACUUUACAAAUUUCCAAGAAAUGACCGAAUAAUUGCACUGUCACUAGAAUCUCUGCAAAAUUACACUGUAGUCUUUGGUUGAAUAUGAAUGCAUGUGAUUCCAAGUCAAGCUGAGUUGCAUAUUUUACAUCAAACUUUAAUUCAAAACAAGCGUGUCAUUUGUGGGGGAAAGAUGAUGACAGGUCAUUUCAGUGCAAUUAGGUAGCAGAGCAGACAGAGAGAUUCAUUACAUUUUCUCUUCUUUUCUUCUUCCUGCAAUGCCAAUUAAGGUUCUUCUUGGACGAGGUUUUUGAAUAGAACUUCGACAGGCAAGGCGAGAGGUGUGAUUGUGAAGCGAUCUCGUACUUAAAGAUGAACAAGGAUAAUCAAUUUGAACAUCGUUUUUCUGCAAGCCCUUUAAUGAGCAGUUCAUUUGAAAACACUACUCCAGAAAGGGUUUCUUCAUUGUCUGAUCAGUCCAUCCAAAGUCCUUCCUAUUCUGAGGACUCUAAUCACUUUAGAUCAAGUAUAUAUUAAUUUCAUAUCGACUAAUCUCUUUCGUUGAGGGUAUAUAUGGAGCUCGGAAGAAUAACCGAAGUUUCUUUGAAUUGCAGAUAAGGAGGAAGAGACUGCGAAAGUGAGAAAUCACAAGAAGAAGUUAGAAAGGAAGGCCAAUAGCUUUGCCUACAGAAUUCGCGAGCACGGUAAGUUUUAUCUGAUAAUUUAGCUUAAACCACCGAAAAUUUUUGCAAGAAAUAGACUACUUUGGAGAGAGAGAGAGAGAGCAUUAUAAACGAGGACUUCAAUAAUUCUAGUUGAAGAAGAAAAACGAAGAUGUCCAUUGUUAAGAAAAUCAUGUUUAGAUUGAAAGAGCUUUCGGUUAUCUUUAAUCGCGCAAAGUAUCUGUUAAGGGAACCCCACAAAGCGUUUUAAGAUCCAACUAGCAAUUUGAUUGCUUAAGACUCAAACGAACACACAGAUUUCAAGAUUGGUGUUCUCAAGCUUGGGUAGAAUGACUUUCUAAUAUAACAUUUUUGAAAGGGAAAAAGCUUCAUAUAGUGCAGUGCAUGGUCUUAUUUGUGGAUGCUGAAUUCUGUUGUGUUUAAAAAUGAGUAUUUCUUUUGUACAUGGUCUGUGAAUUUGCAGUGAGGCUGGGGCCUAAAUUUUCUGAAACAGUGAAGGGGAAGUUGAGUGUUGGGGCCAAAAUAAUCAAGAAAGGUGGUAGAGAAAACAUUUUCAAGGACAUUUUUGGUGUCAUGAAUGGAGAGAAGCUAUUGAAGGCAUCUCAGUGCUAUUUAUCAACCUCAGCCGGGCCAAUUGCUGGGAUUCUGUUUAUCUCUACAGAAAAGGUUGCAUUCUGCAGUGAAAGAUCCAUUACUGUCCAAUCCUGUUCUGGAGCCCUUAUCAGAACUCUUUACAAGGUAAAUAACAUCAAGAUUCAAUUGUUAUCUAGGCGAGUGUCAUUUACAGAAUGAACUUUUCAAGGAUUUCGUUACCAGAUCUACUUAAAACUCCAUUAUUGACCAUCUGAAUCAUGAAUUUUUCAUGUGGUGCAUAAUAAUUCUCAUUGCUGCAGGUUUCUAUUCCCGUGAAGAAGAUAAAAGGAGCUAAACAAAGUGAGAAUGCGAACAAUCCAACACAGAAGUACAUAGAAAUAAUGACUGAAGACAAUUUUGAAUUUUGGUUUAUGGGAUUUGUACGGUAUGAGAAAGCCUUUUUGAAUCUCCAAAAGGCCAUUUCUUUAUGCAAAUAGAUUAGUCACGCGACGGAUUUGAACUUUGAAGAAAGCAAAAUGGAAAUCUCCUUUUAUUCACCGUCGUUUGAAUUUGAGAGACUAAAAGUUUGGGAACUUUGUACAAAAAAUUUCUAUUAAGUCCAGUAGAAUCAAUACAGUAGUUUACGCAAAUUUGUGUUUAAAAAUUUACGUCAAUCAUGUGUUAUUUGUUAUAGUACAAUAUGUUCGAGGAAGUUAUGUCUUUGGGAUUGCUUUGGCAUUGCUGUACUGUUCCAAUGUUCUUGUUCAAUGAUUUUGUCAAGGAAAGAAGAGGAGAAAAACCAUUCCAUCUCAAGAAGAUAUCUGGAUGCUUUUAACCUUCACCUGACAACAAAGAGGUGAGUGCAAAGGGAUAAACUUUUGCAAGAAAUUUCAAUUCACUGCAUAUAUCAAGGGUUCUCAAACACAAAAACCCGAAAAAACUAGCAAUCAAAAGCUUCCAGUUGGUCUUGGAUCAUGGCGAUUAUUUGCGACAGUGCCCGAAUAAUCUGUCUUCUCAAUAUCCAUUCUUGUACAAAUGAUUCAUCCUCCUCCAAG